AAGCCUGCAAUAGAGCAGGAAACCUUAAGCUCUGCAUAAAUCUCCAUUGUGCGUAUUGGUCGUGGCUCAAGAUACGGGAUGUCGUUACCUGUACU
rnacentral:ncRNA from 1 species